rnacentral:rRNA from 1 species
CAGCCGCCGCGGUAAUACAGAGGGUGCAAGCGUUAAUCGGAAUUACUGGGCGUAAAGCGCGCGUAGGUGGUUUGUUAAGUUGGAUGUGAAAGCCCCGGGCUCAACCUGGGAACUGCAUCCAAAACUGGCAAGCUAGAGUACGGUAGAGGGUGGUGGAAUUUCCUGUGUAGCGGUGAAAUGCGUAGAUAUAGGAAGGAACACCAGUGGCGAAGGCGACUACCUGGACUGAUACUGACACUGAGGUGCGAAAGCGUGGGGAGCAAACAGGAUUAGAUACCCCAGUAGUCCCUGUCUCUUAUAC